rnacentral:rRNA from 1 species
CUGGUUGAUCCUGCCAGACCCGACUGCUAUCGGAUUGGGACUAAGCCAUGCGAGUCAACUCCGCAAGGGGUGGCGCACGGCUCAGUAACACGUAGUCAACCUACCCUGGGGACGGGGAUAACCUCGGGAAACUGAGGCUAAACCCCGAUGGGCCAUGGCUCCUGGAAUGGGCUAUGGCUGAAAUCUACAUGGCCCCAGGAUGGGACUGCGGCCGAUCAGGUUGUUGGUGGGGUAAUGGCCCACCAAACCUAUAACCGGUGCGGGCUCUGAGAGGAGGAGCCCGGAGAUGGGCACUGAGACAAGGGCCCAGGUCCUAUGGGGCGCAGCAGGCGCGAAACCUCCGCAAUGGGCGAAAGCCCGACGGGGUCAGUCCGAGUGGUUCCCGCUGAGGGAACCUUUUGCCAGCUGUAAACAGGCUGGCGAAUAAGGGGUGGGCAAGUUUGGUGUCAGCCGCCGCGGUAAUACCAGCACCCCGAGUGGUCGGGACGAUUAUUGGGCCUAAAGCAUCCGUAGCCGGCCCAGUAAGUCCUCCGUUAAAUCCAACGGCUCAACCGUUGGGCUGCGGGGGAUACUGCUGGGCUAGGGGACGGGAGAGGCGAGGGGUAUUCCCGGGGUAGGGGUAAAAUCCACUGAUCCCGGGAGGACCACCAGUGGCGAAGGCGCCUCGCUAGAACGUGCCCGACGGUGAGGGAUGAAAGCUGGGGGAGCGAACCGGAUUAGAUACCCGGGUAGUCCCAGCCGUAAACGAUGUAGGCUCGGUGUUGGGCUGCCUCAGUGGCAGCCCAGUGCCGCAGGGAAGCCGUUAAGCCUACCGCCUGGGGAGUACGGCCGCAAGGCUGAAACUUAAAGGAAUUGGCGGGGGAGCACCAC